AACGCGAGGGCUGCGCCGGGAGCUGUAGUCUUCAGCCCUCUCCCUCUGGGGGUUUCUCUGAAGGAACCAUUUGGGCCGUCCUUAAAGAGGCACCGCCUGCAAAACAGCUAUCACACUGCAGCCCAAGAUGUGGCGACUGAAAAGAACAAGCAUGGGGAGGGAGCCACCACCCACCACUGCGUGACCCUGGCAACUGACUUGUGCCUGUUUCCCCACCAGCAUGACCUAGCUACCUCCUUGGACUCCUGAAAAUCAAGGUGGUUGAAGGAACCCCGUAACAAACUCGGUGAGAGAAGCCAGACAUGAGAAGUCACAGCGCAUAGGGUGCCACUGGACAGGAUGUCCCUGCAAGGAUGGCAAAGAACAGAACCUCUGCAGACUGGAGCCGGACAAUGUCACUGGUUCCAUCAGCAGCCCGGAUGGGCAGCCCCCAUCUGCGAAUAGAGAGGCGCCCACCCACCUGAGUGGAGGCCAGGGGCCGAAGAAGCAGAGGAAGGAGCAGAAGGGACUGGGGGUUCAAUCGCUUGCAGGACUGGAGCAGGGCAGUUGCUCCGCGUGCCUGUUCAGGUUGAUGGGCCCCUUUGGGUUGGAGGGUUUCUCCAGCUGUGGGCAUGGAGGCCCUUGAAGGGGCCUUGUCCACUGCAGGGUGCUGAGCGGGGUCCUGGGCUCCACCCACUGGAUGCCAGAGCCACCUCCCUUCCCAUGACUACCAAGAUGUGCGUAUGAGGGAUCAGGGACCCCAGUAGAUAACCAGCUGGGAGGCUGACCCCGACCCGCCCUCCGAGGACACCGAGCCGCCUGUGCUUGGUGCCCGCCCCUGACACCUCCUCCCCCCCGGGGAAGGCCAGGGCUUGGCCACGCGGACCCGGCGCC